GGGUCCUGUGUAGCUCAAUUGGUAGAGCAUGACAUUAAAACUGUCUGGGAUAAGGGUUCAACUCCUAUCCAACCCA